ensembl:lincRNA
UUCCUCUUCCCCUUCUCCUCUUCCUCCUCCUCCUUUUUUUUUUUCCCAAGACAGGAUUUCUCUGUAUGGCCCUGGCUGUCCUGGAGCUCACUUUGUAGACCAGGCUGGCCUCGAACUCAGAAAUCCGCCUGCCUCCGCCUCCCGAGUGCUGGGAUUAAAGGCGUGCACCACCACGCCCAGCCCUACUCCUCCUCCUUCUAAUGUAUUUUCUUGAGACUGUCCUGGAACACUCUAGAAACCUGGUUGGCCUUGAAUUCAGAUAUUCACCUCCUUCUAUCUCCCAAGUCCUGGUAAACAUCACCAAGCCCAGCUAGAAAGUCAUUCUAGGAUCAGAAAUAAUAGUAUAGCAUGGUUACAUAUUUGGAUUUGCUGCGGGUAUUUCUGAAUCUUCAUAAUAAAAACUUAAAGCCAUUAAGGCAUGUAUUUUUAGAGCAUUGCUACAAGGCUGUCACUGUUCCUACUACAUUUUAAAGUGGAGAUCAGCUAGACAUGAGGGCACUGCCAGGAGUCUGCAGUGAAUGAUCCCAGGGUGAGGGUUAGUGGAAACACUCUUAGAAUGCUCCUUCUUAGAAGAAACAAAACUGAAACAACAACAGAAGCCAUUGUGCAGUGUAUGCCUGCAAUUCUAGCAGUUAGGAGACGGAGGCAAUGACAGCAACUACAGGCCAGCUUGGCCUACAUGUGACGAUGACCUCAAAACAAAUACAAGAAACCACCAUCUGAGGGAGCGUCCGUGAGAAGAAACAGGCACUUGUGCGUGUCACCACUGAGUGGUCUGGCAGAGGUUCUGAAUGUGGUCCCUGUGGCUCCAGUUGGAACUGGAGACAGACAGUGCCCUAACAGUAGACUCAACUGGAAAUGACUGAUGCAGUUCAACCAUCAGACCUAACCUUGGCCCAGCCCCUCAGGAACACAAAGGGCUGAGCAUCUCUUGUUAAGCCAAGGGCUGCACAGGGGCAAGGCAAAGUCAUCUCUGUGUACAUGGACAUUCAGUAUAUAUUUACCAUGGCUCAUAUGCAGGAGGCAGACCCUCUAUAUAAAGAAGGGGCCUCUCACCUCAGCUGGAAAGGAAAUCAGAAACAGGAGCCCCUCCCAAAGACCAAAAGAACAAGGCAGCAGUCUUGGCCGUCAAGAAGGAGGACCUAGAACCAGUGGGGCGUCAAGAAGGAGGACCUAGAACCAGCGGGGCCUCUCCAGAUUGUAGUUACCUUAACUGAACCUGAACUGCUCCAGCCCCCGAUGUACACAAAGAAACCAAGAGAACAAAAAGCCAACAACAAAAUAAAAAGAUGCCAAAAGGGACACAAACGGUGGGGAGACUUGCUAGGCAAAAAGACUCCGCUCCCUGUCAUGAUAGAAAGACAUGGUCA